AGUGACCCAUAGCGACCCAUAGCGACCCAUAGAGACCCAUAGGGACACAUAGUGACCCAUAGCGACCCAUAGAGACCCAUAGGGACCCAUAGGGACACAUAAUACCCCAUAGGGACCCAUAGCGACCCAUAGCGACCCAUAGAGACCCAUAGGGACCCAUAGGGACCCAUAGAGACCCAUAGGGACCCCACAGAGCAGUUCCUGCACGAGGUCUGGAGGUGGAAGGAGGAGUGAGUGACCCAUAGAUACCCCAUAAGUACCCCAUAGGGACCCCAUAGUGUU